CUUCAUCUCUCCCACAGAACGCUACCACAGCAUAGACACCAAGAUGAAGGGCAACCCCCUCUCACUGGAGGAGAUGAUCCUCAUGACCACGUACUCCUGAUCGUUCCUCCCGUGGAUCACGCAGGACAAUUUCGACCUUACGAGCAACAACAACAAAACUUUCCACGGAAAGUUGCGUGAUUGAAGCGGGAUGUUCAACGACACAUCUCAACUUGUUCAAAACUGAACUGGUGAACAGAAGAGAUGUUCUAGCAGGGUGAAAGUUUCUCAGGUGUUACACUACAUGCUUAAGUUGAUCUUCAGGGCGUCCAGACGUGGUGACCAGCCGUGUACCCAAGCCCAGCAGUGUACCCAAGCCCAGCAGUGUACCCAAGCCCAGCAGUGUACCCAAGCCCAGCAGUGUACCCAAGCCCAGCAGUGUACCCAAGCCCAGCAGUGUACCAAGCCCAGCAGUGUACCCAAGCCCAGCAGUGUACCAAGCCCAGCAGUGUACCCAAGCCCAGCAGUGUACCCAAGCCCAGCAGUGUACCAAGCCCAGCAGUGUACCCAAGCCCAGCAGUGAUGUAACCCCCAACAUGUACUUUCAAAUAUAAACAUUCUAGAUGCACUUUCCUAUAGUCUACGGACAAGCGACCGUAUUCUCAAAGUGGUUCCUUCAUAGAACUGUAUUAACCAAGAUCUCUUUUGGAGUGAUCUUUACGUACACCCUGAACCCGGCCGAGUACACACUGAACCCGGCCGAGUACACCCUGCCCCUGAACCCGGCCGAGUACACCCUCAACCCGGCCGAGUACACCCUGCCCCUGAACCCGGCCGAGUACACCCUGCCCCUGAACCCGGCCGAGUACACCCUGCCCCUGAACCCGGCCGAGUACACCCUGCCCCUGAACCCGGCCGAGUACACCCUGCCCCUGAACCCGGCCGAGUACACCCUAAACAUGGUCCACGACACACCACUCCAAUAAUCCCGGCAGGUGGGGGUCGGGGGGACUCAGAAACUUGUCCCCUUACCGCCAAUCUUCCAAAAAUACACAGUAUAUAAAAUUAUUGAUCCUUGUCAUGUUGUGUCCGUCUCGACCACUAACAACAUAUCACACUGUCAAAUCUUCAACUCUUAACAUGAAACAAGGCAAUUAUAAGGGGAACCCGCUGAGCUUGAAAGGAUAUUUAGCACUUUGAAGGGACAUGAGGACAGGAUAGAAGCUGGGAUACGAGGUCGGAGUGCAGGAACAAUCUUGGACCAUCGGUAAUCGAAUAUGGACCUGCAGGAAGCGAGCAAGUUACACAUAGGGUUACACUAGGGUCUAUUUGACCCCUGACAUGUUGCACCAGCAACCAUACACACUAGUAACGACUGCUUGGAAAGGUGACAAAGGUCUGGAUGAAUAAAAAGGAAUAUUUUACAGUCAGAUUUCAUAAGAAAGUUCUCGGGGUUGACCUUUGACACAAAAUACAGCAUAGGCUUUGUUGUUUCUCUCAGGUGCUGGCUUCCUCUCUCUCUCUCUCUCUCUCUCUCUCUCUCACUCACUCUCACUCACUCUCCUCUCCUCUCAUUUUUCUCCUCCUUCCCUCUUGCCUCCCCACUCUCUCUGUUCCUUCCACUUUCAUCAACCUCCCUAUCACUUCUCCAUUUCCCUAUUCUAUUCCUAUCCUCUCCUCUCCUCCCCUCCCCACCUCCCACACUCCUGGAACACACAGUUCAUACAUCACAGUGGCUAGAAUCACCACACUGGGCAGCCUUCCCAUUAACAUUACAGAAGCAGCCGGGAUAAAUUCCCCGCCUGCUUAAGAAAAAUCAAAUUAUUUGGGUGUUACUGAAAAAAUGGAGAUAAUUCGUCUUUAUGGCUAGAAAAAAAAUCUACUUUAGUUCGCUGAGGUCUUUCUUCCUGGCGUGGAAGUGCUUUAAUUACAUUGUAAGAACAUGACGAAACCAUCACUACCAACUAUUUCCCUAGAGUCUUUAGAAAAAUUAUUUAACAGUUUGUGUGUCCUAAGAACUGAACGCAAGUCCCUGUUGGUCUGCUUGUUACAAACAUUUCUGAGCAGCCAUUCGUGCCCUGUUAGACAAAAAAAAGAGAGGCUAAGACAAUGGUUCGCUAGGAAUGGUACAGAUGUUUCCAACGAAAAUGCACGCAAGAGCUGUUAUCCUUAUUCAGUUCAUCUGAAGCCUGUCCCUAGAGACUCAUUUAGUUGAUGAACUAAUUAUUUGCAUUCAUUAGGAGAAAACUAAAUUUCACUCUCACUCACUCUCUCACUCUCUCCUCGCUAACCUGUCAAUGUAGUUUUAUAAACCUUCUACAGCAACAUGCAAACAGAAUCAUAUGUUGCUCACAGCUCUAGUGCCUGGCACGGUACUUCCUCCUGGCCAACACCAGCCGGGGCUCUGAGCCCCAACCAUCAACCACACUACUGUGACCCUCAACCAUCAACCACACUACUGUGAGCCCCAACCAUCAACCACACCACUGUGAGCCCCAACCUUCAACCACACUACUGUGAGCCCUAACCAUCUACCACACUAUUGUGAGCCCCAACCUUCAACCACACUACUGUGAGCCCCAAGCAUCAACCACACCACUGUGAGCCCCAACCAUCUACCACACCACUGUGAGCCCCAAACAUCAACCACACUAGUACCAACAGUGCAAUAUAUAUUUCAUCAGAAUGCACUUGUAUGCAAGAUGAUAUAGAAUGCGACUAUUGGUCUAAAUUCAUCUAUAAAAAUAGGUAAUAAUGAUAUAUAUUUAUUGUAUACAACAAAGAUCAAUACUCGCUGAUCUAUUAAAUGUAGAGUCACAUGUGAAGGUUAAUAUAAUUACUGGAGCGCUUUCGUCAGCAACUUGACACUAAUGGUCACUACUGGUGGUAAUGACCAGAGGGCGUCGAAGGAGCUCGAGUAAUUAGUUUUACGUCAUGCGUGGUGGUUGUGUACACACACACGUACACACACACGUACACACACGUACAUGAGAAAGCUUUAAAAUAAGGCGGGACCAAAGAAAAGUAGCAUGUAUAUAUAUAUAUAUAUUUGUAAUAUUUCUCUCAAAAGCCUUCCUUUGUAGAGGUAAAAAUGUAAAUAGUUUUGGACAGGUGUAAAGAUUUUGUAAAUAAAUAUAUUUAUCUGAGCUG